rnacentral:rRNA from 3 species
ACGGGUGAGUAAUGCCUAGGAAUCUGCCUGGUAGUGGGGGACAACGUUUCGAAAGGAACGCUAAUACCGCAUACGUCCUACGGGAGAAAGCAGGGGACCUUCGGGCCUUGCGCUAUCAGAUGAGCCUAGGUCGGAUUAGCUAGUUGGUGAGGUAAUGGCUCACCAAGGCGACGAUCCGUAACUGGUCUGAGAGGAUGAUCAGUCACACUGGAACUGAGACACGGUCCAGACUCCUACGGGAGGCAGCAGUGGGGAAUAUUGGACAAUGGGCGAAAGCCUGAUCCAGCCAUGCCGCGUGUGUGAAGAAGGUCUUCGGAUUGUAAAGCACUUUAAGUUGGGAGGAAGGGUUGUAGAUUAAUACUCUGCAAUUUUGACGUUACCGACAGAAUAAGCACCGGCUAACUCUGUGCCAGCAGCCGCGGUAAUACAGAGGGUGCAAGCGUUAAUCGGAAUUACUGGGCGUAAAGCGCGCGUAGGUGGUUUGUUAAGUUGGAUGUGAAAGCCCCGGGCUCAACCUGGGAACUGCAUUCAAAACUGACAAGCUAGAGUAUGGUAGAGGGUGGUGGAAUUUCCUGUGUAGCGGUG